rnacentral:lncRNA from 1 species
AGAGAACAGGGUAACCAAAAUCUAAAACUAGGACUAAGUAACAACAGAAACCAAAAGAUGGACAUACUCGACAAGAACACAUGUACAGCCUAGAAGUUUCAACAUUUAGAAACACCGAUUCCAAACUUAAAAGCUCGGACAUUUGUGUUGUUGCCACAGAUCUAAAGAUCUAGAGUCCUCAUCGUCGUUGCCACGAGCACCACCACCCAAGGCUGCCCUCAAAACCUCGAACACGGGCAGAGCCUACAACUUCUCCGAAGACUAACACAAAAACGAAAAAACUUCAAAGAAACAAGUUACAACUGGCGGCACAGGAGCUUCUAUGGGCAGUCAGAGAAGCCGCCUCCGACCACAUCCUCAAGCUAUAGUAGCCUCGAGAAUCAUCUCCCACGGAUGCAACAAAGUCGCCAAAUCCAAAUCGCCGCCUCUAUUCCACACUGUCACCACCAUCGCUUCAAUGGAACAAAUCAAAGCCGAAGAUGAACCACCUCUGAACCUGUGAAACCAAGCCAAAACACAUACAACGCAAGAAACGGAAGGAGCCACACCAGAACUUAAAGAUCUGAGAAAUCUCUGAGAGUAAACACCAAAGGUGGAUCUCUGAAAUCCACCUCCGUUGAAGCACCACCACCAGUCGUCACCGGAGAGAGCUCUCGCAGAGGAGCCCAAACUCAACACUUCCGUCCUAACCGCACCACGAAGGAGAGCAACACGCAUCAGAGACAUAUGCCACCUAACCCGAGGUGAAACCGGAAGCCCUUUCCACCGCAUCUGACUGGUAGUGAGAGCAGUCCUCAAACCCUCAACUACCGAGAAAGAGCAGAGAUAGCA